GUUUUGAAGGAAUAUGUCUGAAAACCCUGAAAACCCUAGCUGUCUAUACACACAUCCAAUCUCUGUCCUCCCCCGUUCUAAUCUGCCGCUCCAUUAUACUUUAACCUGCAAUCAUUUAAUCUCUAUGUAUCUCCAUAUUUAAACCCUAAGCUAAACUCUCCCUGGUUUCACCCUCCAUGCCGAACAUCUCUACGAUGGAGGGGUAUGGUGGCAGGUGGCCCAUCAGGUUUAUGUGGAGGUCCGGGGUCAGUGACGGGAGGUGUGGAGGCAGUGGCGGUUGUGGGAGAUGCGGCAGCAGCUUGAUUUCAAUCUUAUUUUACUGAUUUUGUUUUAUUUUCAGCUUGAUUCAUUCAGAUUGCUUCGCAAGGUGUUACGUUUCAUGACGAGUGGCGGUAUGCUGUUCAUAUCCUAGGGCACAUUUACCUAAAUGAUUUUUAUUAUCUGGCAUUUGCUGUGUUUGUGGGUUGCAAUAUGGAUCUGGCAACAUGUGCUGGAGUUCUUUGUGCGUAUAUUGCCCCGCAGCUGGUUCCGGUAUACCUGAGGUUAAAGCUUAUCUUAAUGGUGUAGAUGCGCAUUCUAUUCUGGCUCCAAGCACCCUCUUUGUAAAGAUUUUUGGAUCGAUAUUUGGAGUGGCUGUUGGAUUUGUUGUGGGAAAGGAAGGCCCAAUGGUUCACAUGGGGGCUUGCAUAGCUAACUUACUUGGUCAAGGAGCAUCUACAAAGUAUUGACAUGGACAUGGCUUAGAUAUUUCAAAAAUGAUAGGGACAGGAGGGACUUGAUCACAUGUGGUGCAGCUGCUGGUGUUGCUGCUGCUUUUCGUUCCCCUGUUGGCGGGGCUCUCUUUGCACUUGAAGAAGCAGCCUCAUGGUGGCGGAGCGCUCUUCUUUGGAAAGCGUUUUUCACAACUGUUGUAGUAGCUGUGGUUUUGAAGGGCCUGAUUGAAUAUUGUAAAACUGGACAGUGUCGAUUGAUUGGGGAAGAUGGUCUGAUCAUGCGCGAUAUCAAUAAUUCAGUACCUUCUUACAACACCAUUGAUCUCCUUGCCAUUGUAUUACUUGGAGUUACCGGUGGAGUUUUUAGAAUCAUUUACAAUUAUCUUGUUGAUGAGGUCUUGUCGCAGUGGUGGCUACAACAUUAAGAUGGGCCCCGGUUGUUCUAUAGGGCUGACGAAGUUUGACAUGGGUUGUUCCGCAACGGUGUUAGGCGCUGCAAAAGCCGUUGGUCAAUUUAAACCCUCUGUAGUAAAGGAAACUACCAGUAACUUCUCGUAACCUCUCAACCGCCGCUUGUAGCGGUUAUUUUUGCUAGUUUAUACGGACAGGAUUUAAUCUCAGCAAGAUCUAACGACCAAGAAUGAUUUCAGAGGGACCAACGGAUACAUGGACUUAGUCUUCCUGAAGACUCGCUCAAGAUGCUUGGAAGACGAACGUUGGGAGCUGGAGAAGAAGUCUACAACGGUCAUAGGGAAUAUUCGCAGUAUCCCGAAAUUAUAGGAUAGUUAGUUGUUUUUUGUAACUAUAUAAAGGAGUGCCGGAUCAGUAGGUAAACACGUGUAAUCCCGCACACUUUCACUUACAGAUUGCAGCUACGAUCACAUUCAGUCACAACACUUAUAUUUCACAUUCAUUGUAACACUUAGAGCUGAUCCGAGCAUUAUCCUGAAGCUGUAUCCUGCUGUUCAAUCAAUAAGAAGAACAAAGGCAGCUGACAAUUGUCAGCUCCCGAGGUUUCGUGCUGGCGAUCUAAAAAGAUCAAGUGCUUUCCUCGUA